rnacentral:ncRNA from 1 species
GGGAAUCCGGUGCGAAUCCGGAACUGUCCCGCAACGGUGUACUCGCGUGCAUCCCUACCCAUAUGGGCACGCCUGUUCAGUCCGAGGUCC